rnacentral:rRNA from 1 species
CCAGCAGCCGCGGUAAUACGUAGGCAGCAAGCGUUGUUCGGAAUUACUGGGCGUAAAGAGUGUGUAGGCGGUGCUCUAAGUCUGUCGUGAAAUCUCCCGGCUCAACCGGGAGGGUGCGGCGGAAACUGGAGUGCUCGAGGGAUGGAGAGGUAAGCGGAAUUCCUGGUGUAGCGGUGAAAUGCGUAGAUAUCAGGAGGAACACCUGUGGUGUAGACAGCUUACUGGACAUCUUCUGACGCUGAGACACGAAAGCGUGGGUAGCAAACAGGAUUAGAUACCCUGGUA